GACGAACGCUGGCGGCGUGCUUAACACAUGCAAGUCGAACGGAGUGGCGAACGGGUGAGUAACACGUGGGUGACCUGCCCUGCACUUCGGGAUAAGCCUGGGAAACUGGGUCUAAUACCGGCUAGUGGGGGAUGGGCUCGCGGCCUAUCAGCUUGUUGGGUGGGUAAUGGCCUACCAAGCCGGCGACGGGUAGCCGGCCUGGGAGGGGAGACGGCCCCAAUGGGACUGAGACACGGCCCAGACUCGUACGGGGGGCAGCGGUGGGGAAUAUUGCACAAUGGGCGGACGCCUGUUGCAGCGACGCCGCGUGGGGGAUGACGGCCUUCGGGUUGUAAACUCCUUUCACCAUCGACGCGGUAGAUGGAGAAGAAGCACCGGCUAACUACGUGCCAGCAGCCGCGGUAAUAC
rnacentral:rRNA from 1 species